rnacentral:misc_RNA from 1 species
GAAAUGCGAUAAGUAAUGUGAAUUGCAGAAUUCAGUGAAUCAUCGAAUCUUUGAACGCACAUUGCGCCCGCCAGUAUUCUGGCGGGCAUGCCUGUUCGAGCGUCAUUACAACCCUCAGGCCCCCGGGCCUGGCGUUGGGGAUCGGCGGAGCCCCCCGUGGGCACACGCCGUCCCCCAAAUACAGUGGCGGUCCCGCCGCAGCUUCCAUCGCGUAGUAGCUAACACCUCGCGACUGGAGAGCGGCGCGGCCACGCCGUAAAACACCCAACUCUUCUCCUCAAAUCAAGCAAGAGUACCCGCUGAACUUAA